CAGUAGCCGCGGUAAUACGUAGGUGGCUAGCGUUGUUCGGAUUUACUGGGCGUAAAGGGCGCGUAGGCGGACUGAUAAGUCAGGGGUGAAAUCCCAAGGCUCAACCUUGGAACUGCCUUUGAUACUGUUUGUCUUGAGUUCGAGAGAGGUAAGUGGAACUGCGAGUGUAGAGGUGAAAUUCGUAGAUAUUCGCAAGAACACCAGUGGCGAAGGCGGCUUACUGGCUCGAUACCGACGCUGAGGCGCGAAAGCGUGGGGAGCAAACAGGAUUAGAUACCCUAGUAGUCCCUGUCUCUUAUAC
rnacentral:rRNA from 1 species